AGAAAACCAAGCAAGCACCUACCUAUU
rnacentral:piRNA from 1 species